rnacentral:rRNA from 1 species
UUGAGUUUGAUCCUGGCUCAGAGUGAACGCUGGCGGCAGGCCUAACACAUGCAAGUCGAGCGGCAGCGCGGGGGCAACCCUGGCGGCGAGCGGCGGACGGGUGAGGAAUACAUCGGAAUCUACCCAGCCGUGGGGGAUAACGUAGGGAAACUUACGCUAAUACCGCAUACGACCUGAGGGUGAAAGCAGGGGACCGCAAGGCCUUGCGCGAUUGGAUGAGCCGAUGUCCGAUUAGCUAGUUGGCGGGGUAAAAGCCCACCAAGGCGACGAUCGGUAGCUGGUCUGAGAGGAUGAUCAGCCACACUGGAACUGAGACACGGUCCAGACUCCUACGGGAGGCAGCAGUGGGGAAUAUUGGACAAUGGGCGCAAGCCUGAUCCAGCCAUGCCGCGUGUGUGAAGAAGGCCUUCGGGUUGUAAAGCACUUUUGUCCGGAAAGAAAUCCUGUCGGUUAAUACCUGGCGGGGAUGACGGUACCGGAAGAAUAAGCACCGGCUAACUUCGUGCCAGCAGCCGCGGUAAUACGAAGGGUGCAAGCGUUACUCGGAAUUACUGGGCGUAAAGCGUGCGUAGGCGGUUCGUUAAGUCUGAUGUGAAAGCCCCGGGCUCAACCUGGGAAUUGCAUUUGAUACUGGCGGGCUAGAGUACGGUAGAGGGUGGU